rnacentral:rRNA from 1 species
CGAACGGGUGAGUAACACGUGAGCAACCUGCCCUGGACUCUGGGAUAAGCGCUGGAAACGGCGUCUAAUACUGGAUAUGAGACGUGAUCGCAUGGUCGUGUUUGGAAAGAUUUUUCGGUCUGGGAUGGGCUCGCGGCCUAUCAGCUUGUUGGUGAGGUAAUGGCUCACCAAGGCGUCGACGGGUAGCCGGCCUGAGAGGGUGACCGGCCACACUGGGACUGAGACACGGCCCAGACUCCUACGGGAGGCAGCAGUGGGGAAUAUUGCACAAUGGGCGGAAGCCUGAUGCAGCAACGCCGCGUGAGGGAUGACGGCCUUCGGGUUGUAAACCUCUUUUAGCAGGGAAGAAGCGAAAGUGACGGUACCUGCAGAAAAAGCGCCGGCUAACUACGUGCCAGCAGCCGCGGUAAUACGUAGGGCGCAAGCGUUAUCCGGAAUUAUUGGGCGUAAAGAGCUCGUAGGCGGUUUGUCGCGUCUGCUGUGAAAUCCCGAGGCUCAACCUCGGGCCUGCAGUGGGUACGGGCAGACUAGAGUGCGGUAGGGGAGAUUGGAAUUCCUGGUGUAGCGGUGGAAUGCGCAGAUAUCAGGAGGAACACCGAUGGCGAAGGCAGAUCUCUGGGCCGUAACUGACGCUGAGGAGCGAAAGGGUGGGGAGCAAACAGGCUUAGAUACCCUGGUAGUCCACCCCGUAAACGUUGGGAACUAGUUGUGGGGACCAUUCCACGGUUUCCGUGACGCAGCUAACGCAUUAAGUUCCCCGCCUGGGGAGUACGGCCGCAAGGCUAAAACUCAAAGGAAUUGACGGGGACCCGCACAAGCGGCGGAGCAUGCGGAUUAAUUCGAUGCAACGCGAAGAACCUUACCAAGGCUUGACAUAUACGAGAACGGGCCAGAAAUGGUCAACUCUUUGGACACUCGUAAACAGGUGGUGCAUGGUUGUCGUCAGCUCGUGUCGUGAGAUGUUGGGUUAAGUCCCGCAACGAGCGCAACCCUCGUUCUAUGUUGCCAGCACGUAAUGGUGGGAACUCAUGGGAUACUGCCGGGGUCAACUCGGAGGAAGGUGGGGAUGACGUCAAAUCAUCAUGCCCCUUAUGUCUUGGGCUUCACGCAUGCUACAAUGGCCGGUACAAAGGGCUGCAAUACCGUGAGGUGGAGCGAAUCCCAAAAAGCCGGUCCCAGUUCGGAUUGAGGUCUGCAACUCGACCUCAUGAAGUCGGAGUCGCUAGUAAUCGCAGAUCAGCAACGCUGCGGUGAAUACGUUCCCGGGUCUUGUACACACCGCCCGUCAAGUCAUGAAAG